UGCCCAAUUUGAUGCCGUCCUCCCCAAAUUGGUGCAGCUGGCUGCUCAUCGGCGCUCUCCCCGACCCGCUCUGCCGGCAUCCUGCAGCUGUGUUUCCUCCUUGCGGCCCGUUGCGACGUUGCGUCAAACCUAACAUGAGCACGGCUCUGAUUCCGUCAGCGAUUGGCUUCCUACAGCCUUCGCUCCAAGGAAGGCGGUCACGCAACCAGCGAGGUCGCGGAGCGCCAGAUGUUGAUCCACCACAGUUGAUCAUCCCGUCGCUGCUCGGCGGAAGUUUGGCGUAGAGUGGGCAUGGCCACGACUGUCCCCUCAGUCUCGAGCUGGGAUUGACGCAGAAGUACCCGUCACAUGGAGUGAGGAAGAGAAGAUUUGUUGAGGUUGUUAACUCAUGUUGAAAAAACGGAAGAGAAUCAGUACCAUCACAGGGACUCGGCGGGCCAUGUUGCCAAAGACUACACGCCUCCAAGUAUACGCCCCCUAAAGAAGGGCCCUGUGCUUCAAUUGAGAGCAGGCUAUCUGGAGGGAGGAUAAAAAGCUAGCAACCGAGCCAGGUUGCUAGCCAUCACGCUGGGGCAGCAGGCAUCCCAACCAAUGGCGAGCCUUACCUCCGCAGCCCCUAUCCCCAAAUCCUCCCGGCAUGACGGAGACGCCGGGAUGUGGCGACUCAGCACGGGAAAUUGCUGAAGAGCGGCAAGGAAGGCUCCCUGGAGAGGCAUGAUGCCGCUGAAAACCAUGGAUGACGGUAGGGGCGACAUGAGAGGGGGUGGACGCCGGCUAGAGGAGCAGAGGCGACCACUGGACCUUGCUCGGCGUGCCGCCCACCACUCGUGCUCGCCGGAGCCAGACACCGGGACGGAGCUUUACCUCGCCGAACACGCCGACACACUGCGGGAACCAUGCCGGCGAGGCACAACCACCACUCCAAUCUGGCUGCCUCGAAUCAUGCGGAAGCAACAUGAGGCGUCGGUAUCUGGGGACGGCCGACGACGUGGGGAACCACACCUGUGGUAGGAGGGCAACGGCGGCGAUUGCCCAUGAGAAGGGGAGGAUGAUGGCGGCUGCAAUAGAUGUGACAUCCGAAGAGAGAAGAAGGGAGAGGUUGGGGCAAAGUGGAGAUCGUGGCACCGCUUUGACCAAAACUGGCAAGGUACGUGGCAACACAAGGCGAUCAAACUGGCCUGUUAGAUCUACAGCCGGUAACCGGUUGUCCAUCUAUCAAAAAAAAUUAUAACCGGUCAAGUAAAUUAAUUGGGCCAUGGAAUAGGAGAGUACGUGUCCAGCAACGGCUCAAGGAAGGAAGAGAUAAUUUGUCCAUCUACAGUGCCCUGAUCAUGCCCCGAUCAACCAGGAAACGCUAAAUCGUUUAACUUUUAUAUAGUGUAUGUAUUGCAAGCAUUAUAAGACUCUACACUGUC